rnacentral:rRNA from 1 species
UACGGAGGGGGCUAGCGUUGUUCGGAAUUACUGGGCGUAAAGCGCACGUAGGCGGCUUCUUAAGUCGGAGGUGAAAUCCUGGAGCUCAACUCCAGAACUGCCUUCGAUACUGGGAAGCUCGAGUCCGGGAGAGGUGAGUGGAACUGCGAGUGUAGAGGUGAAAUUCGUAGAUAUUCGCAAGAACACCAGUGGCGAAGGCGGCUCACUGGCCCGGUACUGACGCUGAGGUGCGAAAGCGUGGGGAGCAAACAGG